GACGAACGCUGGCGGCGUGCUUAACACAUGCAAGUCGAACGGAAAGGCCCUGCUUGCAGGGUACUCGAGUGGCGAACGGGUGAGUAACACGUGGGUGAUCUGCCCUGCACUUCGGGAUAAGCCUGGGAAACUGGGUCUAAUACCGGAUAGGAGCCAUUUUUAGUGUGAUGGUUGGAAAGUUUUUUCGGUGUAGGAUGAGCUCGCGGCCUAUCAGCUUGUUGGUGGGGUAAUGGCCUACCAAGGCGGCGACGGGUAGCCGGCCUGAGAGGGUGGACGGCCACAUUGGGACUUAGGUACGGCCCAGACUCCUACGGGAGGGCGCAGUGGGGAAUAUUGCACAAUGGGCGCAAGCCUGAUGCAGCGACGCCGCGUGGGGGAUGACGGCCUUCGGGUUGUAAACUCCUUUCGCUAGGGACGAAGCUUUUUGUGACGGUACCUAGAUAAGAAGCACCGGCUAACUACGUG
rnacentral:rRNA from 1 species